GAUGAACGCUGGCGGCGUGCCUAAUACAUGCAAGUAGGACGCAGUUGCGAACGGGUGAGUAACGCGUAGGUAACUACCUAUUAGAGGGGGAUAACUAUUGGAAACGAUAGCUAAUACCGCAUACUAGUAGAUGGACCUGCGUUGUAUUAGCUAGUAGGUAGGGUAAUGGCCUACCUAGGCAACGAUACAUAGCCGACCAUGGCGGGUGGACGGCCACAACUGGACUGGGACACGGCCCAGACCCCUUCGGGAGGGAGCAGGAGGGAAUCUUCGGCAAUGGGGGGAACCCUGAACAAGCAACGCCGCGUGAGUGAAGAAGGUUUUCGGAUCGGAAAGCUCUGUUAUUUAGGAAGCGGGACUUAAACAGAAAGGGACGGCUAACUACGUGCCAGCAGCCGCGGUAAUUC
rnacentral:rRNA from 1 species